rnacentral:rRNA from 1 species
UACGUAGGGGGCUAGCGUUGUCCGGAAUCAUUGGGCGUAAAGAGCGCGUAGGCGGCUGGAAUAGUCCGGUGUGAAAGUCACAGGCUUAACCUGUGAAUGCCGCUGGAAACUGUCUGGCUAGAGUCCGGAAGGGGCGAGUGGAAUUCCUGGUGUAGCGGUGAAAUGCGCAGAUAUCGGGAGGAACACCAAUGGCGAAGGCAGCUCGCUGGGACGUGACUGACGCUGAGACGCGAAAGCGUGGGGAGCAAACAGG